rnacentral:misc_RNA from 1 species
CUCUUUUUCUUUGAAGGUGAUUAAAAUGGAUGUCGAUCAACACAUUGCUGCCACCAUAAGUGAAAUCGACCGAACACUCAGGUCUAUUGGUAUACGCGAUGAUUACGCAAGUAUUUUCUCCCAGUCUUCCAUUAUUAACAGCCCCCCACCUUUGCUGACUGCUGCGGUGGUGCGAGCAAAUGGCGCUGUACAGACCAGCAGGUCGACCCGUGUGAGUACCGGCGCACAAAAAAGUCCCGCCACGGUAUCUCAAGGCGUGCAAAAUUCUCCACAGCAACGCGCGACAUCGUCUCAGACGGAAAAAGGAGCUGACGCGCAGGAGUGCUUUGACAAAGUCACGAGCUCGGUCUUGUGUGGAAACGCUAUUUUGGAAGAGGGCCUUCAAGCACUCGAACGCUCCUCAGACAAAAUGGAGGCACUCUUUUCGAAGCUGGCCAAACUGGAAGGCAGGGUGAACAGAGCGGCGAAGAGUUUUCGCCUUUUACGCAAUAUAUGGAACAUACAGAUCAUAGAGAAAGAAGAAGCAUCGGCUCGAAGUGCUCUGCUCAACUACGAGUCUAGCGCGCGCACCGAAUUCAUGUCUCUCCGGUGUGGAGAGCUGAUUGCUCUCGUCGCAGCCUUCAGAAAAGAGCGAGUACCAUCAAAGGCGUCGAGUGAGCUAAAAAGACCUGCUCCUACUCGAGUGAUAGCAAAUGGUAACGUAGUCGUGGAAACACCAGGCAGCUCCCUCAAUGAUCUCACUGAGUUGUUGGACGAAUGUUGGCGCGUUCUAGAUGAGUAGAAAUGCAGCAUUUUUUUGUUGAAAAGGAGGAUUACAGUUUCUGCUGGUUGAAGGCACGCCCGCUGCUACUUUUGUUUGACGCUUUUUGCCCUAUCCAGGCACUCACAUGCUGCGCAUGAGAGCACGUCUCCGUUUAAG